rnacentral:rRNA from 1 species
UAACGCGUGAGGAACCUGCCUUGAAGAGGGGGACAACAGUUGGAAACGACUGCUAAUACCGCAUGAUGCAUAAGGGUCGCAUGAUCUUUAUGCCAAAGAUUUAUCGCUUCAAGAUGGCCUCGCGUCUGAUUAGCUAGUUGGCGGGGUAACGGCCCAUCAAGGCGACGAUCAGUAGCCGGACUGAGAGGUUGAACGGCCACAUUGGGACUGAGAUACGGCCCAGACUCCUACGGGAGGCAGCAGUGGGGAAUAUUGGGCAAUGGGCGCAAGCCUGACCCAGCAACGCCGCGUGAAGGAAGAAGGCUUUCGGGUUGUAAACUUCUUUUAAGAGGGAAGAGCAGAAGACGGUACCUCUAGAAUAAGCCACGGCUAACUACGUGCCAGCAGCCGCGGUAAUACGUAGGUGGCAAGCGUUGUCCGGAUUUACUGGGUGUAAAGGGCGUGCAGCCGGGUCUGCAAGUCAGAUGUGAAAUCCAUGGGCUCAACCCAUGAACUGCAUUUGAAACUGUAGAUCUUGAGUGUCGGAGGGGCAAUCGGAAUUCCUAGUGUAGCGGUGAAAUGCGUAGAUAUUAGGAGGAACACCAGUGGCGAAGGCGGAUUGCUGGACGAUAACUGACGGUGAGGCGCGAAAGUGUGGGGAGCAAACAGGAUUAGAUACCCUGGUAGUCCACACUGUAAACGAUGAAUACUAGGUGU